GGGGAUGCAGCUUAGUUGGUAGAGUCUUUGCCUACCACACACGAGACCCUGGGUUCCAUCCCCAGCAUCUCCA
rnacentral:tRNA from 1 species